UGUGACCCAGCCCCCGCCACAGAGGAGGGGCCUCAGGUGAGGCCCAGGCAGCCCACGGAAGGCCUGGAGCACAGGGUGGAAGGCAGAGGUCCUGCCCCUCAGCUGCUCUCUCCUGCCCUGAGGCCGCCUGGUAAACCGAUGAAGGAUGAGGAAAUAGAGCAGCUACACUGGGUGUCAGGCCAAAGGGAGGGCAAUUCUCCCCUCCCCAAGGAAGUACUGCUCUGCUGAGAAAACCCGAGUCACCCUGGCAUGCCCCGAGCCCAGCCCUGGAAGCAGCCAGCCCUUUCUUGGCAUGGGGCUGCUCCCUGCUAACACACCCUCUGCCGCCUUCCCCCAUACCUGUGGGCUCUAAUGAGGGCCUGAGUCACCCACACUAGCAACAGGUCUCUUCUUCCUCCACAAUCACUCCCCACGCCUGCAUUCAGUUAACCAGCACCUCCCUGGGCGCCUCUCCCCCAGACACACUGGGGGCCGGGGAGCUACACCUGCUGCUCCGGCCCAGGGUGGUGGGGAAAGGAGACGGUGUGCUGACACACAAGGCAGGGCUGCCCGCAGACACGUCCCAGAGGAAUCUUUGGCUCCCCAGUGGCCCUGGGGUGUUGGCCACGGCUGCCUCAGCUCCUGCAUGUGGAUGCUGCAAUUACCUGAGCAUGAAACCCAGCUUCCCACCUGACUGAGUCAGCUGAGAACAACAACACACCUCCACGCCACCCUGCCACACCAGCACACCGCCACAGCCAGCAGGGCACACAUCAGACUCGGGGAGCCACGGGGGACAGAGGCAGGGCCACGGCCAGAGGAGGAGCUGGGGCCGUGAGGAGCUGGGGCAGAGGCCGCUCCUGCCACCUGAGAAGAUUGAUCCCUCACCCCCUGGUGCUCCUCUCACUCCGCUCCAAAAGUACCAGAACCAGCAAAUUCAUCCUCCAAGCAAGACUGAGCAACCUUCCCAUGAUGCUGGAAAGACAGCAGCGGGCAUCACCAGUGAAUACCAGCCUUCGCCUGAACAACCCCAGACCCCACACCUGAGCUUGACAGUCUGAACAGACGCCCUCCACUAGCAACCUAGGGAGAACCCUCCCAAGUGUGUCCCCCUUGAGAACGGACAAGCAGGGCAGCCUGCUCCCUGCAGCCAUGUCCCCAGCCUGUUGGAGGCUCUUUUCGAGGGCCUCUGGGGAGUGCUGCCUGCAACAGUCAGGGCGGAGAGCAGCCUCCAUGGCGAGCUCUACGGGGCUGUCCUCCCCGGGCAGUGGGAAGGUGGAAGGCUGUGCAGAGUGGUGCUGGCUGCCCGCGAUCCAGUGUCCCCACCAGAACCCUUGAGCCACAGAAAGUACCUGUUCUUGCUGAGGAGGUAGCGUGAGGUGACCCAUGGAUCCCCUCAGGGCUCACCUUUAGCUUGGGAGUUCCUUUGCCUUCAGGAUUUUCUGCCUUUCCUAGAAAAUUUGGGGAAAGUAGAAAGUAGAGUCUGAGGGAGAGCUCUCCCAAAGGAGAUGCAGCCCAGGCCCAGAAGACCUAGAAAAGGUCACUCUGACCAAGGGUGACAGCUGCCCCUGCUCGGGAGCCCCUGAAGCUACUACCCGAGGGGGGUCUCCCGCUGCCCGCUGCAGGGCACGGUGAGCACUCUGCCAGUGCAGGGCUGUGAACACCUGGGGGCAGGACGCAGGGGUACAGACCACACAGCUCUACUAAAACUAGAGCUUCUCUCCUGGUUACCUGCUCCAAAACAGAGCCAGCCCUACUGGGACUAAGGUAUAUCAGGCCAGGAGACCUAGGGCAGAGUGAAAGGCAAUCAGGCCAGAGAACGGGGAGGAAGAAGGGACAGGGGGCAUGUGUCCAUGUGGGGUGCCCCUGGGACUGCAGCAGGUGAAAGUCUCCACAGAGAGCAGCGGGAGGCGGGUGAGGGUGAUGGACUCUCACCUCUCAACCUCUGCUCCCGUUCCUGGCGUAUCUGCUCCUGCAUCAGCCUCUGCUGUUUUUCCAGCUGCCGGGAACCUUCUUCUCGCAGGCGCUCGAUCUGCAGAGCAGGGGGUGGGGAGGUGACAGUUCUGUGCGGAUCCAAUUCCCGGCUGGCUCGUGCUGGAAAGGCCCCUGGGAGUCCCACCUGUGAGCUGGGGCUCUGCAACCUGCAGGGGGGACAGGCUGCCCAGAUCCCACAGGAGAAGGGGGGAAGGGCAUGACCUCCAGCCACCACACCCAGCUAGGUCCACCCUCCCCAACUCCAGCAGGCGGCCUCAGGCCCUCAGGCCCCGUCGCUCACCUCCUGCUCUAGUGUCCUGGUGCUCCGGCUCUCCUCCUCCUCCUCGUCCUGGGCCUGAGCCUGCCGCUCCCGGGCCUCCAGGUCUAGACACAAGGGUUGAAUGACCCAAUGGCUGGUCUAAGCAGUGUUUUCACGGCCUCAGCUCCCCCCGCUCUGGCUGCUUCCCCUGCCUCACACACUGUACGGAGGAAACCGUACAGUGACUCUGCCCCCACCCUCCAUGCCCACGUGCUCCCAAGUUUAUUUCCAUUGAGAAAAAGUCACAGCACGGAAGUACAGGCUCCAGAUGAGUGGCCGGGUCUGGAAGAGUGAAACCAGCUCAUACUGACCGAGCUGGCCGUCUGACCAGCGACCAGGGCGUGGGCAGGUGCUCAUGUUGGCCACCCAGGCCACGUGCAGGGAUGCCAGGGGGAGGAGCCGCUGGCCCCUGUCCCUGUGGUUGGCACCACAGCCCGACUGUGCUCUUGCCUUGGCUUUGAUGCAUUUCCCACCAAGGAGCUCAGGCUGUCACUGUCUCCUUCACCUCCCCCUCGACUCACAUUUACCAAGCCUCACGCGACCCGGCCACCGCAGCUCCCACGGGGUGGUGGGUUCUGUGAGGACAACACCGGGCCACAGAGCCCUUCCCGCCUUCCGAGGGAAAACUGCUUGUGGCCCGUUCCAGGCGAACUGCUGUGACAGGCUCUUCUCCCAGGCUCGGGACUCAGUGCGUUCUUUCCCGUGCACUUUACUUACCUUCCAUCUCCAGAAUUUUUGUUUUUGAUAGAGAGAUGGAUGUACUGGGAUGGCAUAUGGACAUAUUACAUAUAUGGGUAUCAAAUAGGCAAGAAGAUGGAGGGAAAAUCGAGUGAAGAAUGUAUGGACCAAUCUAACUGGGGUGAUGAAACUGAUUUACAGUCAUAAUCACACCAUUUGGUAAAUUUACUAAAAAUCACUGAAUUGUACACUGGAAAUGGGUGGAUAUUAUAAUAUGAAAAGUAUACCUCAAUAAAGCCGUUUAAAAAAAAA